AUGCUGAUUUAUUUUGAAUUGAAGCAGAUAGCAAUAUUUUGUCUUGUUACUCUGAUUUUCCAAAGAUAUGUUGAGUACUAUUUCACAUGACGUAAGCGGAAAAAAAUCAAUAAUAAAUUUUGAUAUUACUACACAAGGAGCGGCACCAUCGACUACUGGAGUUACGGCCUCAUUUCCUUCACGAGCACGAACAUCUACCUCCUGAUCUUCGUCUCCAUCAGCAUCUCCAUCUUCAUCAUCACGAGCAUUAUCCGCCACCGCCAUCAGAGGAACAAGGAUCAGCAGAAAGAGACAGAGUAUCUACGAUACUUCUACUCCGUAAUGCCACACAGUCAGAUCUACGGCAACUUGAGCAAGUUGUUCGAAAACGAGGAAAAGAGCAUACCUAACAAGACGAGAAAUAGAAUGCUAAUGGAAAGACAGCAGCAAAGUUUUGCGAGCAGAAUUAUGCAUGCUAUGUAUAAGAGGUAUCCGUACAACCCUUACGUGGUAAGAGAAAUGGAAGAUGAGGAGAUGGACGAAGUUGAAAUGGAAACAGUAUUUGAGGAGAUGGACGAAGUUGAAAUGGAAACAGUAUUUGAACUCGAUGAUGAGCUUGCUAAAACCAGAAGUAAUUCGGAACUGCAAGUUCCAGAGAGGAAGAAGACUGUGCAGUGGUGCAAAUACAGCUUUCAGAACAUGUCAACUCCUAUCUAACAGGGCCAUAAAGUGGAUUCUAUUUGGUGGAUAAUGACGGGAUAAACUUUUCAAUUUAUUAAAGGAAUAGUGGUCUUCUGUUAAUAAAUGUGCUGCAAGAGCUGGUUUUACAACUGAGAGAUUUGCAUGUGAAUGUAUUAUAAUUCACUUGAAACAAUCUAUGCAAAGUGUAUUUGGGCUUUUUAAUAAUAUUUGACAUUGUUUAUAUUGUAAAUACUUUCUCAACGAAUUAAUUAUGCACAUUUAGAUAAAACCAACAAUAUACUGAAUUUGGUGUAGUGACUGAAAGCCAAACACAGUCUUGGUAGCAUUAUUGAUGUUGUCUGUGUGAAAGCUCACCUUUUACACAACAAAACAUACACACAGAAGUUCUUGCUUCAAAGCCAUAUGUUUUUCUUCCAAAUUUAUUUCAUUCUAUUUUUUUCAUAAAUUGCAAAUUUGAUGAACACGUAUCUUAAAUUGAUAACAUACUGAAUGUAUUACAAUCUAGCAAAUCCAUACUUUCUGCUAAUUUAUAAAACUGCUAUGAAGCAUUUUAAUACAGGGGUAUUUCUGCUAUGUAAAAAAGGCCAUAAAACAGACCCGAUCCCAAAGCAAACAGACCCUAUCCCAAACCGAAAUUUAAAAAAAUGCCCAAUUUCCACAUUUAAAAAAAAAGAGUAUCUUAUGAGUUAUGAUUAUUAGACUCUAUAUCUCAAUUUUAUUUUUUAAACAACCAACAAAAUAUACAGCCAUAAUUUAUCAGAUUUGUAUCCAAAAUGGCCAGGAAAAGACCUGUUGUGUCAAUAUUUGUUGAUAAAAUAAUCCCAAUUUGGUCCUUAAUGUCGAUAAAAACUUCCCAAAUUUGCCACUUUUGUCGAUUAAAAAAUCCCAAUUUGACCAGACUCCUUUUCCCGAAAUGGCUGGAAAAAAACCUGUAAUAAAACAAUAAUCAGACAUUGUCUCCACCUGAUCUUGCAUCAUUUUGUUGUUACUGGCACAAAGUAUGGAGCAAAAGAUGCACAUUUUCAUUCUGAAAAGCAUUCAAGCCUCACUCUACGAAAAGGGGGUUUGAUGCAUGUGCGUAAAAUGUCUUCCCAGAUUAGCCUGUGCAGUCUGCACAGGCUUAUCAGGAACGACACUUUCCGCUUUUAUGAUAUUUUUCGUUUAAAGAAAGUCCCUUCUUAGCAAAAAUCCAGUUAAGGCGGAAAGUGUUGUCACUAAAUAAGGUUGUGUGGACUGCACAGGCUAAUCUGGGAUGACACUUUACGCAUAUGCUUUAAAGCCCCUGUUCACAGAGUGCAGCUCAUUUAUAUUGGUUCAUUUAUAUUACUUGCAUCUUAUUGUAAGCAAUGAAGUUCCACACUGUUUAAUGCCCACAUUAUGCAACAACAAUAAAGCACCAUUUCAUUCAGAAGCCAGUUCAUGUGAUGCUUCAUAGUUUUUACUUGCUUUUAACCCUUUACCACUUUGAUAGGUAUUUUGAUGCACUUGU